GAGUUUGAUCCUGGCUCAAGAUGAACGCUGGCGGCGUGCUUAACACAUGCAAGUCGAACGGACUCAUAUUGAAACCUAGUGAUUUAUGAGUUAGUGGCGGACGGGUGAGUAACGCGUGGAUAACCUGCCGUAUACCGGGGGAUAACACUUAGAAAUAGGUGCUAAUACCGCAUGAGCGCACAGCUCCGCAUGGGGCGGUGUGAAAAACUCCGGUGGUAUACGAUGGAUCCGCGUCUGAUUAGCCAGUUGGCGGGGUAACGGCCCACCAAAGCGACGAUCAGUAGCCGGCCUGAGAGGGUGAACGGCCACAUUGGGACUGAGACACGGCCCCGACUCCUACGGGAGGCAGCAGUGGGGAAUAUUGCACAAUGGGGGAAACCCUGAUGCAGCGACGCCGCGUGAGUGAAGAAGUAUCUCGGUAUGUAAAGCUCUAUCAGCAGGAAAGAUAAUGACGGUACCUGACUAAGAAGCCCCGGCUAACUACGUGCCAGCAGCCGCGGUAAUACGUAGGGGGCAAGCGUUAUCCGGAUUUACUGGGUGUAAAGGGAGCGUANACGGUUAUGCAAGUCUGAAGUGAAGCCCAAGGCUCAACCAUGGGACUGCUUUGGA
rnacentral:rRNA from 1 species